rnacentral:ncRNA from 1 species
CCCGCUGAACUUAAGCAUAUUGCUAAGCGGAGGAGAAGAAACUAAACAGGAUUCCCCAAGUAGCGGCGAGCGAAAAGGGAACAGCUCAGCGCCGAAGCCGUCGGCGGGUGACCGUUGCACGGCGGAUGUGUCGACUACCAGUGGUCGUAGGCUCCCUUGAUCGGGACGUCGCAGAGGGUGCAAGGCCCGUGCCGACGGCGGUGGUCGGCAACGCGCUCGCAGGGCUGCCGAGUCGGGUUGCUCGAGAGUGCAGCCCAAAGCGGGUGGUAAAUCCCACCUAAAGCUAAAUACGACUACGAGACCGAUAGCGAACAAGUACCGCGAGGGAAAGUUGAAAAGAACUUUGAAGAGAGAGUUCAACAGGACGUGAAACCGUUCGGAAGCAAACCGAUGGAGCUGUCGUCGUUUGGUCGGCAAUCAGUCGAAACGGUCCGCAGUGACGAGCGGCACCUGGGCGUCUCUCACUGGGCGUCCGGGCACGUUGCUCCACCAAUGUCCGGGCGCCGAACGAUGCACUUGCCGACCAGUGGCGUUACGAGCGACGGGUGGCCGAGCAAAGGCUCGCGCAGGCGCGUCAACGCGCACUGCGGUGCUUGACCUUGGUUGAAGAGGGUGCUUGGCGCUUGAGCCAUCGCUUGUUGGCCCUACGCCUUGUCAUAACCGGCGAUCAUGGUCGUAGCUUCGCCCUGACGCUUGCCUCCUGUCGCCCCGCGAAACGCGCAAGACAUUUGCGCUGGCUGGCGGGCUAGUUGCGCCGACCGUUUGCGCGGCCGGCCGAUCAGCACCGCGCUUCGAGGUGCACGGCGGCCGCUGCGUGCGUUCGGCCACUUUUGACCAGUUGCCCUUAAGGACCGGUUAACCCCGCGCUUCCUUAUGAGGUGGCUUGCGUGGUCGAGCUGCGUUGCGGCGCCGGCCGACGCCUGCGACCAGUCAGCCGAACUGAAUUCUGUGGCGUCCGCGCCAGUCACCCAUCGGACUCGUCUUGAAACACGGACCAAGGAGUGCAGCUUGUGCGCAAGUCAUUGACGCAAGUGACUACGGUCAAAGGCGCAACGAGAGUGCAUUGCGUGGGCUCGUCCCACCUGCUCGCUGAUCCCGCUAGACGGUACGGCCUCCAAUGGCCGCCGCCGCCAUUGUGGGCGCACAGCGGUGCCGCUAGAUUCGUCGCCGUUGGUAUGCGGCUCCUAACGGGGCCGGCCAGCGGACGGUCGGGCUGGCGGACUCGGAGCGCACCAGCUGUUACCCGAAAGAUGGUGAACUAUGCAUGAGCAGGAUGAAGCCAGAGGAAACUCUGGUGGAAGUUCGUAGCGGUGUUGACGUGCAAAUCACUCGCCCGACUUGUGCAUAGGGGCGAAAGACUAAUCGAACCAUCUAGUAGCUGGUUCCUUCCGAAGUUUCCCUCAGGAUAGCUGGCGUUCGCAUGCAGUUUUAUCCGGUAAAGCGAAUGAUCAGAGGUAUUGGGGACGCAAUGUCCUCAUCCUAUUCUCAAACUUUGAAUGGGUAAGAAGGCCGAUUUGCUUUCCGAAAUCGUGCAUCUUCUGCCUGAAUGCGUUGAACGACUAGUGGGCUAGUUUUGGUAAGCAGAACUGACGAUGUGGGAUGAACCGAACGUCAGGUUACGGUGCCCAAUGUUCGGUGCUCAUCAGACACCAUGAAAGGUGUUGGUCGAUAUAGACAGCAGGACGGUGGCCAUGGAAGUCGGAACCCGCCAAGGAGUGUGUAACAACUCACCUGCCGAAUCGACUAGCCCUGAAAAUGGAUGGCGCUCGAGCGCCGAGCCUGUACCUGACCGCUUUGGCAAUGUUGUUGACCGUCUCGCGCGUGCUUCUUUGCAAGCGGACGACCGAAGGCCAAGGCGUGUAGGAAGAGGUCGCGACGGUGUGCGUUGAAGGUGUGGAGCGUGAGCUCUCCCGGAGCCGCCGUCGGUGCAGAUCUUGGUGGCAGUAGCAAUUAUUCAAGUGAGAACCUUGAAGGCCGAAGUGGAGAAGGGUUCCAUGUGAACAGCAAUUGCACAUGGGUCAGUCGAUCCUGAGAACGAGGCGAAAGCCUAGGCGCAGCGGUGUUCGCGCGGUCCUUGUCGCACGACCAGCACGCCGUACCGUUCGAAAGGGAAUCCGGUUGAAAUUCCGGAACCGAGACACGGAGAUGUACACCCGCGGCUGCGGUUAUCGUGGCCUCAGCGGCGACGGCGGCGGUGCUUCGUCGUUCGUCGCGCGGCUCUCGGGGCUGCAAGUACGCGGGACAGGUGCGCGCGGUAACGCUCUUGAUCUCGGCGAGCAGCCGUCGGCAGUUCCGGAAAGAGUUUUCUUUUCUUCAUAAGGCACGCAGUCGCUGGAACCGGGUUGCCCGGAGAUAGCGACGAUGUCGCCGCAAAACGCCGCGUCUCCCGUGGUGUUCGGAACGCUCUCGACGGUCCGUGAAAAGCCGAGCUACGCCGUAUAAAUUUGUGCUCGUUCGUACCGAUAUCCGCAGCAGGUCUCCAAGGUGAACAGCCUCUGGCC